UGACUUAAUCAUGUAAUUUCUUUUUCUUUUAACAAGGACUAAUAUUACGAUAGAAAAAUAAUGCACCAAAAUUGUAUUUUAGAAAAAGAAUAAAAAAGAAAGGUGAAAAAUAAAGAUGAAAGAAAGACCCUGAUCAUAAAAUGUCUUGGAUAUGUUAUCAAUAUAGAAUCUUGUCUAAUUUAAAUAAAAUAAUAAAAAUACUAUAUUGCUUAUUUGUUCAGAGCUUAGUGUGAUAGGUUGAAAGUCUGGUCACUAUGCUUAAGUGUUGAGAAAAUUAAUUGGAUUAAGUUAAAUAAUGAAAUAGGCAAAGGAAGAUACGUUAAAUAGAUAUUAAAUGGUUAUAACAUUAGCAAAUUAAGUUUGAUAUAGUGGUAAUAUGCUCUGUGUUUGUUUGUGUAACUAGUUUGAUUACAAAACUAGUUUGUUUGUUUUAAGAGAGCUGCGCUAGGAAGAACACCAAAUGCUCAAUCCGUGACGAGCGAGAUCGGUGACGAAUGAGAGGCACUGAGAGAACAAGGAGUCCAAUGAAGAACAUAAGCAUUGCGGAGUAAUAUCUAUUCAUUCACGCGAUGUUAGUGGUCCAUGGGUACAAGAAAUUAGAAAACGUAAAUGAUGUGGAAAUGAAAGGCAUAGGGAUUUCAAGUGGCGGACUUCAUUUUAGGAUUGGAGAGAACCUAGAGAGAAGGAGCACCCAGCUUGGCGGGCUUCAUUUUGGGGUUUCAAAAAUUGGAAGCUCAUUUGUGCGAGAGAAGUCGAAAGAGAACGUUCUUCCACCUGUAGACCCCCUUUCGCAGAAUCUAUCGUUCACCCACUUUGCACGGUUCACCGGACUUUCGUCGUUCACCGAAGUCUUGUCCGCCCCCAUUUCGCCAUUUCAAAGCACCAAAGUCGUUCCACUAUUCGGUUGCGCGUUUAGGGUGUUCUGUAGAGCCUAUUUUGUUGUUGUCAUUGGUGGUUUUUGUUGUGUGGGUUUAUGAGAGAGUGGGGUUGACAUGGGAAGGGUUUUUCUUGUUGAUUAGGAUGGCAAAUCUUAAGGAUGCACAUUCUUUCCAAACAUUCCACCAUUUCGAAGCACCCUUGAAGGUCGAAACCACCAUUGACAUGGGUUUUGAAGUUUUCCACCGUUCGUUUCUCUGCAACCACCAUUUGGAAGCACCGUUAUAUCCGAAAACCACAAUUGAAGACGAAAAAACACAGAUGGUUAUAUUGAUCAGGCACGAUAGUGUGGUUUAAAAGCAAAUACAGCAGAUCCCAAAGAUGUUACUCUUAGAGGUCUUCUUGCAAGGCUUUAUGUUGAACUUGGAGAUUAUCAAAAGUUGUUACAUAUGAGCAAGUACAUCAACUCUGAUAUGAGAAUGUUGAUCCAGUUGCAGCUAAGGAUUAUGACACAAUAGUAGGGGAAAGAAGGAUUCAACUAUCUGGAGGGUAGAAACAACGGGUGACAAUUGCACGAGAAUAGUGAAGAAUACAAAAAAUAUUAUUACUAGAUGAGGCCACAAGUGCAUUUGACGCAUCUGAAAAAUUGGUUCAAGAUGUACUAUAGCGUUUUAUGGUGAAUCGAACCACAAUAGUAGUGGCUCACAGGCUAUCCACUACAAAGGGUGCUAGUUUAAUUGUAGUAAUAAAAAAUUGUGUGAUAGCAUAAAAGGGAACACAUGAAGCAUUAUUGAGCAAGGAAGGUGAUUAUGCUUCCUUAGUAACAUUGCACACAAGUGCUUCUACAUUUUAGUUUGUUUUCACCUCCUUUUGAUUUUAUUCGAGAAAUACUACUCUGGAAUAUUUCCAUAUCAAUAAUUUUGCAACUUUAAAUGUCA